rnacentral:rRNA from 1 species
UAGCAAUUAUACCGCGAAACUGCGAAUGGCUCAUUAUAUAAGUUAUCGUUUAUUUGAUAGUACCUUACUACUUGGAUAACCGUGGUAAUUCUAGAGCUAAUACAUGCUAAAAAUCCCGACUUCGGAAGGGAUGUAUUUAUUAGAUUAAAAACCAAUGCCCUUCGGGGCUCCUUGGUGAUUCAUGAUAACUUCUCGAAUCGCAUGGCCUUGUGCCGGCGAUGGUUCAUUCAAAUUUCUUCCCUAUCAACUUUCGAUGUUUGGGUCUUGGCCAAACAUGGUUGCAACGGGUAACGGAGGGUUAGGGCUCGACCCCGGAGAAGGAGCCUGAGAAACGGCUACUACAUCCAAGGAAGGCAGCAGGCGCGCAAAUUACCCAAUCCCGACUCGGGGAGGUAGUGACAAUAAAUACUGAUACAGGGCUCUUUUGGGUCUUGUAAUUGGAAUGAGUACAAUUUAAAUCCCUUAACGAGGAACAAUUGGAGGGCAAGUCUGGUGCCAGCAGCCGCGGUAAUUCCAGCUCCAAUAGCGUAUAUUAAAGUUGUUGUGGUUAAAAAGCUCGUAGUUGAACCUUGGGCCUGGCUGGCCGGUCCGCCUCACCGCGUGUACUGGUCCGGCCGGGCCUUUCCCUCUGUGGAACCCCAUGCCCUUCACUGGGUGUGGCGGGGAAACAGGACUUUUACUUUGAAAAAAUUAGAGUGCUCCAGGCAGGCCUAUGCUCGAAUACAUUAGCAUGGAAUAAUAGAAUAGGACGUGUGGUUCUAUUUUGUUGGUUUCUAGGACCGCCGUAAUGAUUAAUAGGGACAGUCGGGGGCAUCAGUAUUCAAUUGUCAGAGGUGAAAUUCUUGGAUUUAUUGAAGACUAACUACUGCGAAAGCAUUUGCCAAGGAUGUUUUCAUUAAUCAGGAACGAAAGUUAGGGGAUCGAAGACGAUCAGAUACCGUCGUAGUCUUAACCAUAAACUAUGCCGACUAGGGAUCGGACGAUGUUAUUUUUUGACUCGUUCGGCACCUUACGAGAAAUCAAAGUGCU